rnacentral:tRNA from 1 species
GCGUCGGUGGUGUAAUGGCGUAGAGCAUACCCACCCUAUCAGCAGGAGGUGCGGGUUCGAGUCUCGCCUGGCGCU